AACGGUCUAUACCUGCGGUACCUGCGGAGGGAUCAUUACCGAGUUUACAACUCCCAAACCCCUGUGAACAUACCACUCGUUGCCUCGGCGGAUCACCGCGCCCCGUGAAACGGGCCGGCCCGCCAGAGGACCUAAACUCAAAUGUUUUAUUGUAUCUUCUGAGUAAAAACACAAAUAAAUCAAAACUUUUAACAACGGAUCUCU
rnacentral:misc_RNA from 1 species